rnacentral:rRNA from 1 species
UUCCCGUAAGGCGCCGAAUGAGUCAGUUAAAAAAUUAACAUCAUCCGAUCCCUAGUCGGCAUAGUUUAUGGUUAAGACUACGACGGUAUCUGAUCGUCUUCGAUCCCCUAACUUUCGUUCUUGAUUAAUGAAAACAUCCUUGGCAAAUGCUUUCGCAGUAGUUAGUCUUCAAUAAAUCCAAGAAUUUCACCUCUGACAAUUGAAUACUAAUGCCCCCAACUAUCCCUAUUAAUCAUUACGUCAAUCCUAGAAACCAACAAAAUAGGAUCAAACGUCCUAUUUCAUUAUUCCAUGCUAAUGUAUUCAAGCGUUAGCUUGCUUUAAACACUCUAAUUUUUUCAAAGUAACAGUCCUGUUUCCCUGCAACACCAAAUUAAUGACAUUACAGUUCUUCAGAAAGGAGGAAUCAGCGAAACCAGUGCGUACCAGAGGCACGACCAACCUGCUGACCCCGAAAUUCAACUACGAGCUUUUUAACUGCAACAACUUUAAUAUACGCUAUUGGAGCUGGAAUUACCGGCGGCUGCUGGCACCAGACUUGCCCUCCAA